GAGGAUAACAAUUGUUUUACAAAGAUAUUUAUUACAUAAUUGUAAUUUUAUUGAGUAAAUGUUUACAGUAGUUAUGCACAUGAUACAAACUAUUCUUUAUACAUUUUUAAUGACAUGGUUUUAAAAACAACUAGAAAGUGUAAUUUUGCAACAAGAAAAUAAGUAGAAAAAUGCACAGACUAGUGUUGAAAAUGUAGUCUAGUGUAGCAAUACUGUAUUAUAGUUGUGUGGGAUAGUAUCCUUUAAACAGAAAAAGUAUUGACUAUAGCCCAGCAGUAGUAGUACCUGGUCCCAUAUCUGUUUGUACAGUCUUGGUAACUCAUGUAUUUACAUUUAUAUGGUCAGUGCUAGGUGUGUCUCAGCUGUUGUGAUCAAGUGGCCAGUAAAAUGUGUGAUCAUUCUGGGCAUGGUCAGGCUGUGUUCAUCCUCCACCUGUCAGGUCAGUGUGGUUGGCGUUGGUUGUGGUGUGGUCAGUUUGGUCAGUGUUGGUUGUGGUCAGAUUAUUGAUGGUUGUGGUCAGUCCUGGUUAUGGUCAGAGGUAAAAGUCAGUGUUGGUUGUGGUCAUUCUCCUCCACCGACCAGGUCAGUGGAUAUGGUCAGUGGUGGCUGGUUGCGGUCAGUGGAGGCUGGUUGUGGCCAACGGAGGCCGGUUGUGGUCAGUGGUGGCUGGUUUUGAUCAGUGAAGGCCGGUUGUGGUCAGUGGAGGCCGGCUGUGGUCAGUGGGGGCUGGUUGUGGUCAGUGGUGGCUGGUUGUGGUCAGUGAAGGCCGGUUGUGGUCAGUGGAGGCCGCUUGUGGUCAGUGGUGGCUGGUUGUGGUCCGUGGUGGCUGGUUGUGGCCAACGGAGGCCGGUUGUGGUCAGUGGUGGCUGGUUGUGGUCAGUGGAGGCUGGUGGCUGGCUGUGGUCAGUGGUGACCGGUUGUGGUCAGUGGUGGCUGGUGACUGGUUGUGGUCAGUGGAGGCUGGUGGCUGGUUGUGGUCAGUGGUGGCUGGUUGUGGUUGUGGUCAGUGGUGGCUGGUGACUGGUUGUGGUCAGUGGUGGCUGGUUGUGGUCAGUGGUGGCUGGUUGUGGUCAGUGGAGGCUGGUUCUAGGGCAGUGGUGACUGGUUGUGGUCAGUGGUGACUGGUUGUGGUCAGUGGUGGCUGGUUCUAGGUCAGUGGAGGCUGGUUGUGGUCAGUGGUAACUGGCCGGUUGUGGUCAGUGGCGGCUGGUUGUGGUGGCUGGUUGUGGUCAGUGGUGGCUGGUUGUGGUCAGUGGUGGCUGGUUGUGGUCAGUGGAGGCUGGUGGCUGGCUGUGGUCAGUGGUGACCGGUUGUGGUCAGUGGUGGCUGGUGACUGGUUGGUGUCAGUGGAGGCUGGUCGCUGGUUGUGGUCAGUGGUGGCUGGUUGUGGUUGUGGUCAGUGGUGACUGGUUGUGGUCAGUGGUGGCUGGUUGUGGUCAGUGGAGGCUGGUUGUGGUCAGUGGAGGCUGGUUCUAGGGCAGUGGUGACUGGUUGUGGUCAGUGGUGGCUGGUUGUGGUCAGUGGUGGCUGGUUGUGGUCAGUGGUGACUGGUUGUGGUCAGUGGUGGCUGGUUCUAGGUCAGUGGAGGCUGGUUGUGGUCAGUGGUAACUGGCCGGUUGUGGUCAGUGGUGAUUGGUUGUGGUCAGUGGUGACUGGUUCUGGUCAGUGGUGGCUGGUUGUGGUCAGUGGAGGCUGGUUCUAGGUCAGUGGAGGCUGGUUGUGGUCAGUGGUAACUGGCCGGUUGUGGUCAGUGGCGGCUGGUUGUGGUGGCUGGUUGUGGUCAGUGGUGGCUGGUUCUAGGUCAGUGGAGGCUGGUUGUGGUCAGUGGUAACUGGCCGGUUGUGGUCAGUGACGGCUGGUUGUGGUGGCUGGUCGUGGUCAGUGAUGACUGGUUGUGGUCAGUGGUGGCUGGUUGUGGUCAGUGGUGGCUAGUUGUGGUCAGUGGUGGCUAGUUGUGGUCAGUGUAGGCUGGUGUCCGGUUGUGGUCAGUGGAGGCUGGUUGUGGUCAGUGGAGGCUGGUUGUGGUCAGUGGUGACCGGUUGUGGUCAGUGGAGGCUGGUUGUGGUCAGUGGAGGCUGAUUGUGGUCAGUGGAGGCUGGUUGUGGUCAGUGGAGUCUGGUUGUGGUCAGUGGAGGCUGGUUGUGGUCAGUGGAGGCUGGUUCUAGGUCCGUGGAGGCUGGUUGUGGUCAGUGGAGGCUGAUUGUGGUCAGUGGAGGCUGGUUGUGAUCAGUGGUCAGUGGAGGCUGGUUGUGGUCAGUGGAGGCUGGUUGUGGUCAGUGGAGGCUGGUUGUGGUCAGUGGAGGCUGGUUGUGGUCAGUGGAGGCUGGUUCUAGGUCCGUGGAGGCUGGUUGUGGUCAGUGGAGGCUGGUUGUGGUCAGUGGAGGCUGAUUGUGGUCAGUGGAGGCUGGUUGUGAUCAGUGGUCAGUGGAGGCUGGUUGUGGUCAGUGGAGGCUGGUUCUAGGUCCGUGGAGACUGGUUGUGGUCAGUGGCGGCUGGUUGUGGUCAGUGGAGGCUGGUUGUGGUCAGUGGUGGCUGGUGGCUGGUUGUGGUUAUCGGUGACCGGUUGUGGUCAGUGGAGGCUGGUUGUGGUCAGUGGAGGCUGGUUGUGGUCAGUGGUGGCUGGUUGUGGUCAGUGGUGCCUGGUUGUGGUCAGUGGUGGCUGGUUGUGGUCAGUGGUGGCUGGUUGUGGUCAGUGGUGGCUGGUUGUGGUCAGUGGUGGCUGGUUGUGGUCAGUGGUGCCUGGUUGUGGUCAGUGGAGGCUGGUUGUGGUCAGUGGUGGCUGGUUGUGGUUAGUGGUGACUGGUUGUGGUCAGUGGAGGCUGGUUGUGGUCAGUGGUGACCGGUUGUGGUCAGUGGAGGCUGGUUGUGGUCAGUGGAGGCUGGUUGUGGUCAGUGGUGACCGGUUGUGGUCAGUGGAGGCUGGUUGUGGUCAGUGGAGGCUGAUUGUGGUCAGUGGAGGCUGGUUGUGGUCAGUGGAGUCUGGUUGUGGUCAGUGGAGGCUGGUUGUGGUCAGUGGAGGCUGGUUCUAGGUCCGUGGAGGCUGGUUGUGGUCAGUGGAGGCUGGUUGUGGUCAGUGGUGA